rnacentral:tRNA from 1 species
GGUCUCAUCGUUCAAUGGAUAGGACACACCCCUGCGAAGGGUGUAAUGCAGGUUCGAUUCUUGCUGGGACCA